CACAUGAAUCGUUAUCUCUUCAAGUUUUAUCAUUAUCAUAAUGGAAGGUAAUUUCCACCUACUGUUCACUAUACAAUGGGUACGUAGAGUGAAAACACAGUAGUUGCGAUUGUAAUAUCAUACUAACAAAAACAAAACAGUAACUUAGCGCUACAUGCUGUUAAAGAUGUUUAUAGAAAAAAUAGUGAACACAGCCUAUUACGCUACAGUGUUCGCAUAUUUUAUAAAAUUUGUGUAUGCAGCUAGUUACUACGUGAAGCAAUUUUAUACCAGCAGAAGCAAAGGUAACAAGAAAAAAAAGAAAAAAUGAAGCAAUACAUAAGGAAAUGCAUUUAUUAUACUAAAAUCGAAAGGAUAAAAAAUAUAUGAUAUUAUAACAUUUUCUUGCGAGCGUAUAAAUAUAAUAAGAGACUCACUGUUACAAAUACUGUAGAAUUUCAAGACUUACACCAGAAACUAACUACGUACACAUACGCCAUUAAAAGGGCCGCGACAAAGUGGUAACCACCAUAGACAGUAAAUUGUUGUUGUACCGUUAAAUAAAUUCCAUUAUUGUUAAUAACACAAGCAAAUACUAGAUUUAGAAUAGAGUAGAUUAAACCAAUAAAACUAAAAACUGUUCCAAAA